UGCCAGACUCCUACGGGAGGCAGCAGUGGGGAAUAUUGCACAAUGGGGGGAACCCUGAUGCAGCGACGCCGCGUGGGUGAAGGAGCACCUCGGUGCGUAAAGCCCUAUCGGCAGGGAAGAAAAGCGAACAGGUUCGCCUGGACGGUACCUGACUAAGAAGCCCCGGCUAACUACGUGCCAGCAGCCGCGGUAAUACGUAGGGGGCAAGCGUUACCCGGAUUCACUGGGUGUAAAGGGAGCGUAGACGGCCAUGCAAGCCAGGGGUGAAAGCCCGGGGCCCAACCCCGGGACUGCCCUUGGAACUGCAUGGCUGGAGUGCGGGAGGGGCAGGCGGAAUUCCUGGUGUAGCGGUGAAAUGCGUAGAUAUCAGGAGGAACACCGGUGGCGAAGGCGGAUUGCUGGACAGUAACUGACGCUGAGGCGCGAAAGCGUGGGGAGCAAACAGGAUUAGAUACCCCCGUAAGA
rnacentral:rRNA from 1 species